rnacentral:lncRNA from 1 species
ACAAACUUUGGAAGAGAAGAGAAAUAAGGGUCAAUUGUCAAAACUGGAGACCUGGGAUGGGAUGACCAGGAAAGGCAACGCGCGGACUCCCACAUGCGAGAGGUACAGGGGCAUCAUCAUCAUCAGGGCUGUGGCCCAGGGGAAACCUGAUCCAUCCAGGGGACUGACGUUGCUGCAGAAGUGACCAGAGUUCAGGCAGACAGUGAAGGGUGGUGUGUAUGUGAUGGGGAGGGAGAGAUGGUUACAAAAGAGCCUGCCAGCCAAAGGAGACACAUCUGCAGAAGCUCUGAUGCAGAAAAGUGCCUGGCAACGAGAGGGACUGAGAAAUGGCCGAUAGAUCUCAAGAGAGUGGGAAUGAGACAGGGCCAAGGAUGGGCCCCAUGAGGCUGGCGAAACAGGCGGGGGCCAUCGCAGCCGCGGUAAAGACUGCUGUUGCCAACUGAAGAGCAGGGACAAACCGUUGAAGGGUUUGAAACAAGAAAGCUACAAGGUGACUGUAAGUGAAAAAAACUAAAAUGUUUAAAUAGCAGCAUGAAUUUCACCAUUCGCCUUUAUAUUGUGCAAUGGCAAUUUUAAAUGCAAAUGUGGCAGCAUUUAACCUGUAUGCGGAAUCACUGAAAUUACACGACUCAUAUUUCACAGCUGCUACGUGCAUAUGUAUUUGAUUCUUAACAGAACAGUGAAAAUGCGGCACUGAAUUAAGUCAAAUAUUUUUAUUUCGCUUCCUGGUAUGUGCCCAUUAUAGCAACACUUUCUACCCUCAGUUUAUGGUGAGAAAGAGGGACUAAAAGGAGAAAGAACAGUGGGUUGUCCUACCCUUCCUUUCCUUCUCUGUCAUCAUUUCCAGCAUGUGUGUUUGGCUAAUGCAGGGAAGUAACAUGAGUCAGAACAGAUCUGAUAAGAUUCUUCAGUUUGCCACGUUUCCUAGAACACCACUGCCUUCUUUCUGUGUUCCGUGCAAGUUCCAGUUCUGGCGGAAACAGGCUU